rnacentral:rRNA from 1 species
ACGCUCGACACCUACGGGGGCAGCAGUGGGGAAUAUUGCACAAUGGGGGAAACCCUGAUGCAGCGACGCCGCGUGAGUGAAGAAGUAUUUCGGUAUGUAAAGCUCUAUCAGCAGGGAAGAAGAUGACGGUACCUGAGUAAGAAGCCCCGGCUAACUACGUGCCAGCAGUCGCGGUAAUCUGAGCGGGCUGGCAAGGC